AUGCCCACCUCCUCCGCCUGCCCCGCCCAGAGCCGGCCCAGCCCUGCCCCGCCGCCCGCCGCCGGGGAUCUCGGCCCAGGCCCUCUCGCCGGCUCUGGGCCCCAGCUCCGCCCCUCGCUUGAAUGGGGGGCCAGCUCUUCCUCUGGGUCAGGGUCGGGAACCGAGCGGGGGCUUCAGGGCCGGAUACUUCGCCAGGGGAGGCGGCGCGCUCGCCCCGAAAGCCUCUGCCUGCUCGCGGCGGAGAGAGGCUGGGCGGCCGCGGGUGCGGACAGCUGCCCGGUUCCGCGGCUCUCGCGGCCCGGGGGGCCCCCUGGCCGGGCUCCCCCACCCCUCCCGUGGCUCUCACCCCCACGCUCCCUAAUCCAAUUUGCAACUUGGCCGCGCGCCGCCCCCGGCUCGGCCCCCACCCCCGCAGCCCCAGUUCCAGAGGCGGGAGGAUCGACUCCUGCAGCCGGGAGCGGGGGCAGCGGCUCCUCAAGGCGGCGGGCGCCGGCGUCUUCAGAGCGCCAUGCGAACCGCGGAGCGAGUGUGGCAUCUCUACCAGGCGGGGUACCAGCCUCUAUGCCAGGCCAUAUGGGCUUGGCACGUCACGGGCAGCAGCUAUCACAUGAGAGACGGUGAUUGGCAUGCGUCUGCAUUGGGGGAGAGCCGGCUCCCCCGGGACCCGCCGCCAUCUGUCACUCUCUACUCCAAAAAAAAAAAAAAAUUAAAUAAAUAAAGGAAAUAAAUAAAUAUCUCCGCCGCC
rnacentral:lncRNA from 1 species